GAUGAACGCUAGCGGCAGGCCUAAUACAUGCAAGUCGAACGGUGUCUUCGGACAUAGUGGCGCACGGGUGCGUAACACGUAUGCAACCUACCUUACAUUGGGGGAUAGCCUUUGAAAGGGAGAUUAAUACCGCAUAAGACAGUAGCUGGGCAUCCAGCAGCUGUUAAAGAUUUAUCGAUGUAAGCUGGGCAUGCGUCCAAUUAGCUAGUUGGUGAGGUAACGGCUCACCAAGGCAAUGACUGGUAGGGGAACUGAGAGGUCAAUCCCCCACACUGGCACUGAGAUACGGGCCAGACUCCUACGGGAGGCAGCAGUAGGGAAUAUUGGGCAAUGGACGCAAGUCUGACCCAGCCAUGCCGCGUGCAGGAUGAAGGCGUUAUGCGUUGUAAACUGCUUUUAUACAGGAAGAAACGACUCUUGCGAGAGGCAUUGACGGUACUGUAUGAAUAAGCACCGGCUAACUCCGUGCCAGCCGCCGCAGUAAGAC
rnacentral:rRNA from 1 species